AUGCAAAUGAGGUGUUCCCAGAACAUUACACCUCAGCCACGAAUCCUCACCGUAUGAAGCCUCAAUGAGCUAAGAAGAACUCCUUUCCACCUCCAAGGUUCAUAUAUUGCCCUUGAUUCAUCUGACAAAAAAGUGUAUAUGCACAAGCUGUCUCAUUGAAUAUCGUCUAAAAGAACUGCUUUACUGAAUCGGUCAAGAGAGCUGGAACACUAAACUCCUCAGUAAAGCCCCGCCACUCACACCCAACCGGACAAGGAUCCGGCAGACUCCACCCAAUCCGGGCUUCAAUUCAUCCUCCCAGCCUGGUGUGCGGGCGGCACCUGGACACCCUGAGGGAUGAAGUGGAACCAGAGAACAGCAAGGACCCCAUGAUGUGCCGGCAAUUCAGCUCCUUGUGACGUCAGCUUUUAGCCUCACUUUGCCCUGCGUCCGGUGGAAACCAUGCCCGUGACGGCCUCUGCUUUAAGCUCCGUGAGGGAAGAAGGGGAUUGAUUGUAGAGGCGAGUGCUACAGUGUCCCUGUUCUCACCAGCGUGACAAGCAUCACCACCAGGAUGCAAGAAGGGCCUGAACUCCAAACAUGAUUGCGUCCAAGGACUGAAGGAAAAGCCAGGGGUUUUAAUUGAGAAGGCAGGAAAUAGGAUAUCACAGAGUCCCCACCAACACAGACCAGAACUACUUAGAUCACGCCAGGCAUGCUGGGAGAGCAGGGAGCAGGUGACCCCAUCAGCUGCAAGUCGGUUUAGAAUCCCUUUUCUUUUUGACUUUUAAAAAAAAUAUUUGGGGCUGGUGAGAUGGCUCAGUGGGUAAGAGACCUAUGAAAAGCUGGAGAUGGCGGCAUGCAUCUGGAAUCCCUGCACUCUGUUCAUGGGCCGAGAAGUAUAGAAAGGAAAAUGCCCCAGGAAGCUUUACAUGAGAAUGUAACACAGCGGCAGAAAUCACAAGAUACUUUGCCUCAAAUGAGAUAAAAGAUGAGAACUAACUCCUAAAAGUUGUCCCCCAAUUUCAUCAAUGUGUGCGAGUAUGUACACACACACACACACACACACACACACACACACACAAUUUUUUUUUAAGUUUAAAGUUACCUAAUUUCCUUUCUACCACUUCCUUUGUGUCCACAUCAAAUCU
rnacentral:lncRNA from 1 species